AAUAGAUACCCGGGUAGUCCACGCCGUAAACGAUGAGUGCUAAGUGUUAGAGGGUUUCCGCCCUUUAGUGCUGCAGCUAACGCAUUAAGCACUCCGCCUGGGGAGUACGGUCGCAAGACUGAAACUCAAAGGAAUUGACGGGGGCCCGCACAAGCGGUGGAGCAUGUGGUUUAAUUCGAAGCAACGCGAAGAACCUUACCAGGUCUUGACAUCCUCUGACAACUCUAGAGAUAGAGCGUUCCCCUUCGGGGGACAGAGUGACAGGUGGUGCAUGGUUGUCGUCAGCUCGUGUCGUGAGAUGUUGGGUUAAGUCCCGCAACGAGCGCAACCCUUGAUCUUAGUCGCCAGCAUUAAGUUGGGCACUCUAAGGUGACUGCCGGUGACAAACCGGAGGAAGGUGGGGAUGACGUCAAAUCAUCAUGCCCCUUAUGACCUGGGCUACACACGUGCUACAAUGGAUGGUACAAAGGGCUGCAAGACCGCGAGGUCAAGCCAAUCCCAUAAAACCAUUCUCAGUUCGGAUUGUAGG
rnacentral:rRNA from 1 species